UGAACCUUGAGGCUGUUGCUGGCCUGUCUGGGCAAUGUGCACGUCUCUGGUCAUUACCAAUUCCACCUGUGCACACUUGUAGACACUUGGGAAUGAGAGANUUUGACCAGUCUCUUGAGAGAAUNNAAGUCUGGGUGUCUAUGCCAUUUUAUUAAACACUAGUUGUAUGUUUAUAGAAUGUUGAGUUGAUAAAAUAUAAAAUACAACUUUCAACAACGGAUCUCUUGGCUCUCGCAUCGAUGAAGAACGCAGCGAAAUGCGAUAAGUAAUGUGAAUUGCAGAAUUCAGUGAAUCAUCGAAUCUUUGAACGCACCUUGCGCUCCUUGGCAUUCUGAGGAGCAUGCCUGUUUGAGUGUCAUUAACAUCUCNNGACCUGUCUGCUUUUGAUAGGUAUUGGAUUUUGGGGGUUGCAGGCUGUUUCAGAUUGCUUGCUCUCCUUGAAUGUAUUAGUGGAGAAAAUCCAUUGAACUCCUUUGGUGUGAUAACAUCUAUCAAUGNCAGGAGCAAUGUGUCAGUUGUCUCUGCUGUCUAACCUAGCUGUCCAUAAACAUGGNCAACUUGACCCACUUGACNUCAAAUC
rnacentral:rRNA from 1 species